ensembl:lncRNA PENK-AS1 PENK antisense RNA 1
AACACUCACCAGGAAGUUGAUGUCGGCCGGGCGCACUAGGCGGUAGCUGCACGUCGCGCAAUCCUGGCUGCAUUCGGCCCGCACGGUCGCCAGGAGCCCGGGGCCGAGCAACAGCAGCCAAGUGCAAAGUGUCAGGAACCGCGCCAUGGACUGCGAGGAGAGAGGGACGCGUGCUUCGAGCCUGCCUGGGCGCAGAACGGGGUCCCUCGGCAGGACCCUCGCCGCGACAGCCUCAGCAGGGGAUCGUCGAGCAAAAGCCCGCAGGAAUGCUCCUUUCUGGGGCCCCGCCCUCCCGGCCGACAGCUUUUAGGUAGACGUGGAGGCGACUCAGAUCGCCUCGCGGUUCCCGGGAUGGCGCGGUCGCCCCCAACGCGAGGCUGCCUGGGGCACCCGGCUCUUUUCCUGGGCGUCCGCGGCCCAGGGCAAGAUUCCGGAGAGAACGCCGCAGACCAGGGGCGAGAGAGCGGGAGCCGGGGGAGGCAGGACAUUGACUGGGGUCACAAAGAAGAACCAGGGAACGCUGUUGGGGAACCCAUGCAAUGAAAUGUGAAGGGAAAGAGGGCGGGCAGACGUCCCCAAACCCGCUCAGCAAAGACAAGCUUCGGGCAAAUUCACUCACGUUGACGCUGUUCGGAUGGAGCAGGCCAAUUGGAAAAGCCGGGUUCAGACACGACUCUAGAGGGAAGAGAAGAAGGAAGCUGAACUGACACGAAACAAAAGAAGUCCGUUGUUUUGGAUUGAGUUCCAUACUUGGCUGGCCCAGAGGUUGAUCUCACCACCAUUCAGAUAUCCAAGAAGAAGCCACCUGUUGGAUUUAAGAAAACCCAGUCACCAAUAAUGUGGAAUCCAUUUCGUGGAGACAAGCUACUUUUAGUCAAAAAUUGUAAGGCACGGUUUGUCAAGAUGGCCGAUACACAACAGCUCCAGUCUACGCAUCCCAGCAUGAGCGAUGCAGAAGACGGGUGAUUUCUGCAUUUCCAACUGAGGUACCGGGUUCAUCUCACUGAAGCUUGUCGGACAGUGGGCUCAGGACAGUGGGUGAAGCCCACUGAGCAUGAGCCGAAGCAGGGCGAGGCAUCGCCUCACCCAGGAAGUGCAAGGGAUCAGAGAAUUCCCUUUCCUAGCCAAGGAAAGCUGUGACAGAUGGCACCUGGAAAAUUAGGUCACUCCCACCUUAAUAUUGCGCUUUUCCAGUGGUCUUAGCAAACAACACACCAGGAGUUUAUAUCCCGCGCCUGGCCCAGAGGGUCCCACACCCACAGAGUCUAGCUCAUUGCUAGCAGAGCAGCCUGAGAUCGAACUGCAAGGCAGCAGCAAGGCUGGGAGAGGAGCACCCACCAUUGCUGAGGCUUGAGUAGGUAAACAAAGCGGCUAGGAAACUUGAACUGGGUGGAGCCCACUGCAGCUCAAGGAGGCCUGCCUGCCUCUGUAGACUCCACCUCUGCAGCCAGGGCACAGCUGAACAAAAGGCAGCAGAAACCUCUGCAGACUUAAAUGUCCCUGUCUGACAGUUUGGAAGAGAGUAGUGGUUCUCCCAGCACGCAGCUGGAGAUCUGAGAAUGGACAAACUGCCUCCUCAAGUGGGUCCCUGACCCCCAAGUAGCCUAGCUGGGAGGCAUUCCCCAGUAGGGGCAGAAUGACACCUCACAUGGCCGGGUACCCCUCUGAGACGAAGCUUCCAGGGGAAAGAUCAGGCAGCAACAUUUGCUGUUCAGCAAUAUUCGCUGUUCUGCAGCUUCUGCUGCUGAUACCUAGGCAAACAGCGUCUGGAGUGGACCUCCAGCAAACUCCAACAGACCUGCAGAUGAGGAUCCUGACUGUUAGAAGGAAAACUAACAAACAGCAAGGACAUCCACACCAAAACCCCAUCUGUACGUCACCAUCAUCAAAGAACAAAAUGAUAAAACCACAAAAAUGGGGAAAAAACAGAGCAGAGAAGCUGAAAAUUCUAAAAAUCAGAGUGCCUCUCCCCCUCCAAAGGAAUGCAGCUCCUCGUCAACAAUGGAACAAAGCUGGAUGGAGAGUGACUUUGAUGAGUUGAGAGAAGAAGGCUUCAGACGAUCAAACUUCUCCGAGCUAAAGAAGGAAGAUCGAACCCAUCCCAAAGAAGCUAAAAAACUUUAAAAAAGAUUAGACAAAUGGCUAACUAGAAUAUCCAGUGUAGAGAAGUCCUUAAAUGAUCUGUUGGAGCUGAAAACCAUGGCAUGAGAACUACGCGAUGCAUGCACAAACUUCAGUAGCCCUGCAAGAGCUCCUGAGGGAAGCACUAAACAUGGAAAGGAACAACUGGUAUCAGCCACUGCAAAAACAUGCCAAAUUGUAAAGACCAUCAAGGCUAGGAAGAAACUGCAUCAACUAAUGAGCAAAAUAACCAGCUAACAUCAUAAUGACACAAUCGAAUUCACACAUAACAAUAUUAACCUUAAAUGUAAAUGGGCUAAAUUCUCCAAUUAAAAGACACAGAUUGGCAAAUUGGAUAAACAGUCAAGACCCAUCAGUGUGCUGUAUUCAGGAGACCCAUCUCACGUGCAGAGACACACAUAGGCUCAAAAUAAAGGGAAGGAGGAAGAUCUACCAAGCAAAUGGAAAACAAAAAAAGGCAGGGGUUGCAAUCCUAGCCUCUGACAAAACAGACUUUAAACC